AGAGUUUGAUUAUGGCUCAGGAUGAACGCUGGCGGCGUGCCUAAUACAUGCAAGUCGGACGAAGGCAUCGGAAUGGUAACAGGAAGAUGACUUAGUGGCGUAUGGGUGAGUAACGCGUUGGCGACCUACCCCAUAGAGGGGGAUAACACCGGGAAACUGGUGCUAAUACCCCACGAGGUUGGAGGGAUUAGAAGCCCUCUAAAGAAAGGAUAAAACCGCUAUGGGAGGGGCCUGCGUCCCAUCAGCUAGUUGGUAAGGUAACGGCUUACCAAGGCGACGACGGGUAGGGGACCUGAGAGGGUGACCCCCCACACUGGCACUGAAACACGGGCCAGACACCUACGGGUGGCAGCAGUAGGGAAUAUUGCACAAUGGGCGAAAGCCUGAUGCAGCAACGCCGCGUGCGCGAUGAAGGCCUUCGGGUCGUAAAGCGCUUUUCUGAGGGACGAGAAAGGACGGUACCUCAUGAAGAAGGUUCGGCUAACUACGUGCCAGCAGCCGCGGUAAAACGUAGGAACCGAGCGUUAUCCGAAUUUACUGGGCGUAAAGCGCGUGCAGGCGGGUUUGGUAAGUUAGAUGUGAAAGCUCCUGGCUUAACUAGGAGAGGCCGCUUUAAAACUGCCAGGCUAGAGGACGGUAGAAGGGGGGUGGAAUCCCCGGGUAGUGGUGAAANGCGUAGAWWUCGGGAGGAACACCUGUGGCGAAGUGCGGCCCCCUGGGCCGUACCUGACGCUGAUACGCGAAAGCUAGGGGAGCAAACSGGAUUAGAUACCYCGGUAGNMCUARCUGUAAACNANGUGAACUUGNCSUUGSGGGGUAAAAUCCCACAGUGCCGAAGCAAACGCGAUAAGUUCACCGCCUGGGGACUACGGCCGCAAGGCUAAAACUCAAAAGAAUUGGCGGGGGCCCGCACGAGCAGCGGAGCGUGUGGUUUAAUUCGAUGCUACACGAAGAACCUUACCAGGGUUUGACAUGCAAGUGGUAGGGAGCUGAAAGACGAACGACCCUUCGGGGAGCUUGCACAGGUGCUGCAUGGCUGUCGUCAGCUCGUGUCGUGAGAUGUCCUGUUAAGUCAGGUAACGAGCGCAACCCUUGUCGUAUGUUACAAGUGUCAUACGAGACUGCCGGUUUAGUGCCGGAGGAAGGCGGGGAUGACGUCAAGUCAGCAUGGCCUUUAUAUCCUGGGCUACACACACGCUACAAUGGUCGGUACAAUAGGUUGCAAAACCGUGAGGUGGAGCCAAUCCCAAAAGCCGACCUCAGUUCGGAUUGCAGGCUGCAACUCGCCUGCAUGAAGCCGGAGUUGCUAGUAACCGCGCGUCAGACACAGUGCGGUGAAUACGUUCCCGGGCCUUGCACACACCGCCCGUCACGUCAUGGAAGUCGGCAAAACCUGAAGCCGGUAGCCUAACCGUAAGGAGGGCGCCGUCAAAGGUGGGGCUGGUGACUGGGACGAAGUCGUAACAAGGUAGCAGUACCGGAAGGUGCGGCUGGAUCACCUCCUUUCUGAAGGGCGAAUUCUGCAGAUAUCCAUCACACUGGCGGCCGCUCGAGCAUGCAUCUAGAGGGCCCAAUCGCCCUAUAGAGC
rnacentral:rRNA from 1 species